CCCUUAGAUGUCCUGGGCUGCACGCGCGCUACACUGAUGUGUUCAAUAAGCACCUAACCUACUCCGAAGGGACUGGGUAACCUUUGCAAAGCACAUCGUGAUGGGGAUAGAUUAUUGCAAUUAUUAGUCUUGAACGAGGAAUUCCUAGUAAGCGCAAGUCAUCAGCUUGUGUUGAUUACGUCCCUGCCCUUUGUACACACCGCCCGUCGCUCCUACCGAUUGGGUGUGCUGGUGAAAUGUUCGGAUCGGCCGUUUGUCGCGGUUUCCGCGUCAUGUGGCUGAGAAGUUCAUUAAACCCUCCCACCUAGAGGAAGGAGAAGUCGUAACA
rnacentral:rRNA from 1 species